UACGGGGGGAGCAAGCGUUGUUCGGAUUUAUUGGGCGUAAAGAGCGUGUAGGCGGCCAUACAGGUCAGCUGUGAAAACUCGAGGCUCAACCUCGAGACGUCGGUUGAAACCGUAUGGCUAGAGUCCGGUAGGGGAGUGUGGAAUUCCCGGUGUAGCGGUGAAAUGCGCAGAUAUCGGGAGGAACACCAGUAGCGAAGGCGACACUCUGGGCCGGUACUGACGCUGAGGAGCGAAAGCGUGGGGAGCAAACAGG
rnacentral:rRNA from 1 species